rnacentral:lncRNA from 1 species
GUGGCUGCAACCCAAGCAGGUGGUGGCUCAGGCCAGGAGAGCUGCCAUGGAGCCUUCACGAGUCUCAUUCCAACUCGCAAACACCAAAGCCAGGAGGAACAGCAGCGUGCUUGGCUUUGCACCUACAAAUUCUAAAAAGGUUUCAUCUUCCUUCGGGAGACACAGGCAUGAUGCUUUCUGUUGGCCUGGGGCCGCAGCUACCAGAGAAAAGCAGGCUCGAGAAGUAUUCAGCGCACAGAGGCGAAGUUCACAUGCGUGGUCUCCACCCAAAGCAGUUGCCAUUCACAUGAAGAGGAUGCAAGUUGGGGUGAUUUUUGCAUUGGAUCUGACUCGCCAGGAAAGAUGAUGUUUCUGAAGUUAGAAGUCAUCUACUGGGGCCCGAGCUAGACCCUUACUAAAUGUUUAACCAUCUCUGGAACAUGAGUUCCAUCUUCCCGGCAGGAUCAAAGUUGAGUUCAGGUUCCCAGGCCCCAGAACCAACUCCUAGCCCACUCAUUCAGGUGCUUCAUGUUGGUCUGUUAGCCAGUGAGGAUGUAAAGAGGGAAGUGCUGUGAUCCAGUCAUCUACGUUAAGGCACACGGCUCGUAUGUGUGCUGCUCAUCUUGACUUAAUUGACUGUGUGUGGCUUGCCCUCUCCUUGUUCCCUUACCAUUCUAAAUUCCAGGGCAGCAUCCAGGAGGGGACCUGAAUGCAAAAGCUGAUUCAGGAACCUGAAACCAGGUGACCUGGAAAAGGCCCAGUCACCAAUGCUAACUUCUUUGUUUAAACCCCUUGUGUCAAAAUGUGAUCGGUCAAUGCAACAGCCUACCCUGAUCCCCCUUGCUUUGUGUUUCCAUUCUACUAAAAUGUAGCACAAUUUCCCUUAGGGGGCGCUGUUCAGAUCCCGAACUGAGUGCCUCCCUGAGUGCUCAGAAAAUAAA